GGACUACUAGGGUAUCUAAUCCUGUUUGCUCCCCACGCUUUCGCACCUCAGCGUCAGUAUCGGGCCAGUGAGCCGCCUUCGCCACUGGUGUUCUUGCGAAUAUCUACGAAUUUCACCUCUACACUCGCAGUUCCACUCACCUCUCCCGAACUCGAGCUCAUCAGUAUCGAAGGCAGUUCUGGAGUUGAGCUCCAGGAUUUCACCUCCGACUUAACGAGCCGCCUACGUGCGCUUUACGCCCAGUAAUUCCGAGCAACGCUAGCCCCCUUCGUAUUACCGCGGCUGCUGGCAC
rnacentral:rRNA from 1 species